rnacentral:rRNA from 1 species
UACAGAGGUCCCGAGCGUUGUUCGGAUUCAUUGGGCGUAAAGGGUGCGUAGGCGGUUUGCUAAGUUUGAUGUGAAAGCCCGGGGCUCAACCCUGGAAUUGCAUUGAAUACUGGCGGACUAGAGUACUGGAGAGGAAACUGGAAUUUACGGUGUAGCAGUGAAAUGCGUAGAGAUCGUAAGGAAGACCAGUGGCGAAGGCGAGUUUCUGGACAGUUACUGACGCUGAGGCACGAAGGCCAGGGGAGCAAACGGG